AUGGAUUCUCCCGCCUGACACUCGGUGUGAAUGUUUCCAUGUGAAAUUGCAACAGCACUGCAGACACGUGGAGUUGACCAAACAGCGACAGAGCGCAGAAGAUGUCUGACAUGGUAACGGAAGCUAAUCAGGAAAUCUCUCACCCAGAAGCCUCAUUACUAUCAGAUGCUGAGACAGUUCCCACUGUAACUGAUGCUCCAGAUCUUCCAGACAAGAGCAAUGUGGCAAACUCUGUUCAGGAGCCCAUUGAUGAGAAACAGCUCAGCACAAAUGGAG